ensembl:lncRNA
AGGAACCAGAAGGCCCAACAUAGUCACUGAGUUAUAACCAGACAAGGAACCAGAAGGCCCAACAUAGUCACUGAGUUAUAACCAGACAAGGAACCAGAAGGCCCAACAUAGUCACUGAGUUAUAACCAGACAUAGAACCAGAAGGCCCAACAUAGUCACUGAGUUAUAACCAGACAGGGAACCAGAAGGCCCAACAUAGUUACUGAGUUAUAACCAGACAAGGAACCAGAAGGCCCAACAUAGUCACUGAGUUAUAACCAGAAAAGGAACCAGAAGUCACUGGGUUAUAGCCAGCCAGACAGGGAACCAGAAGUCCCAUCCUAGUCUUGUGGAACCAGACAGGUGUGUCUAAAUAAAUCUGGCUGUGCAAGUUAACGCCAGACUAAUAUUUGUUUUCUAAAUAAUUAUCAUAACGCAAGUUAUUUUUCUUGGGGUUGAUUGAGCUUUAUUUAAACAGGAGAAUUAUGAAUGAUUCAUUUCUGGGAGAAAUAGUGUGGUUAGGUUGAAGUCUGUCAGGCGAGGCUUGGGCUUGUUGCUUUGGAGACCCAUCAAACCACCUCUGCUGCUCCUCGCACAGCGAUUGUUGAACAACCAACACAUUGGAUGCAUCCAAAAUGGCACCGUUUUUCCUAUAUAGUGCACUAUGUUUAACACGGACCUGACGGUCAACAGUAAUGCAUUAAAUAGGGAAUAGGGCUUCAUUUCAGAUGCAGCCGUUGUCAUUCUCCAAGGGACUGUUGCUGCUGUCAUCGUGGCAAUAGGCUGAUCCCCUCACAACUUACAGUCCUAUCUUAUCUAUCUCUGUAUAUAUGUACUGUAUGUAUGUAUUAUAAAUUAAUAUUAACCAGGAGAACUCUCUGGAAGAUGUUGAAACCACUAGAGGUGUUCAGGGGUGGGUUUGAAAAUGUACCAUCUCUGUGAGAGCCUAUUGGUCGAUUUUACCUUGGGAAAAGCUGAGGUCAUUAAUGAUUCAAGCUUUCUAUCAGAGACUACCCUCAACUUUCAGACAGUUUUAAUCAGUUUCUAGAAGAGAAACGGAAUUGAAUAUUACACUCUUAGAAAAAAGGGUUCCAAAAGGCUUAUUUGGCUGUGCCCAUAGGAGAACCCUUUUGGGUUCCAAGUAGAACCCUUUUUGGUUCCAUUUUGAAUCCAGGUAGAACCGUUUUGGCAACCCAAAAAGUUUCUACCUGGAACCAAAAAGGGUACUUCAAAGGGUUAUCCUAUGGGGACAGCUGAAGAACCUUUUUCGGUUCUAUAUAGCACCUUUUGUGUAGAUGGGCCAACCUAUGGGACCUCAUGUAGAUAAUAUUACCAGAACGUACUGACUGGAAAGCCUUGGAACUGUUCUAUGUUAUAGAAUGAAUCUAUAAUAUAGAUAGAAUGGUUCUCCACUACAACAAAUGCAAACUAUUAUUCCAGGACCCAUUGUCCAACCUUUGAGCGCAGUUCUUGUUUUAACCACAGCAGGUCCCUCUUCCUCUGUAAAAGACAAGACAUAUCCUUGUACAUUCUGGUAGAGCACUGAACUGAGUUUUAACCACAGCAGGUCCCUCUUCCUCUGUAAAAGACAAGACAUAUCCUUGUACAUUCUGGUAGAGCACUGAACUGAGUUUUAACCACAGCAGGUCCCUCUUCCUCUGUAAAAGACAAGACAUAUCCUUGUACAUUCUGGUAGAGCACUGAACUGAAUUUUAACCAGAUGCUUUUAAUGGCAAAUGAUUUUAAACGAUAGGAGAUGAUGAAAUAUGUACGGUGCUGUUAUUAACUUAGAUAAACGAAUGACCUUUUACUGUCAUACGAUCAAAAGUCUUAAACUUCUGGAGAAGAAACCACCAGUUCAAAACGUUCAUCGGAUUAAAUACUAUAUUUUUCAUAAAUGUAUAUUUUUCAGUCAGACCACCUCGACAUAAACUCUGGUUGGUUUCAUAUGUUUUAAAAGCAUAUCAAAUAUUGUCUGUCUAUAAAGUUGGAAUGUAUUCAAUGUACUGUAUAGGCUACAGUGAUCUCCUAUGUAUGUUAUUGACAACUCUGAUCUUCUAAAUGACAAACGCUGUGGAAUUUGGUACAGUAUAUUAUCAUUGUCAAUAAUAACAACUCCACCUGAAAAA